UGCCAGCAGCCGCGGUAAUACGUAAGUUGCAAGCGUUGUUCGGAUUCAUUGGGCGUAAAGGGCAUGUAGGCGGCAUGACAAGUCUGGUGUGAAAUAUCUCGGCUCAACCGAGAAAACGCACUGGAAACUGUCAAGCUUGAGUAUCGGAGGGGAAGCUAGAAUUCCUGGUGUAGGGGUGAAAUCUGUAGAUAUCAGGAAGAAUACCGGUGGCGAAGGCGAGCUUCUGGCCAGAUACUGACGCUGAGGUGCGAAAGCGUGGGGAGCAAACAGGAUUAGAUA
rnacentral:rRNA from 1 species